CCACUUUUUUCUAUAACCUUAUUUGCCACAUGAUUAUGUGCGGUUAUUUUAUAUUUCGAAUAAUAAAUUAUCGAAAUAACUUUAUUCUUAACUUCGAUUAAAUUUUACCUAUCCAUGCCCCACAAUCCGUAUUUCGACAACAAGAGGGGGUAGUGGCGGAGAGGGUAGUCGAGCGAGGUCGAGGGGAAAUCGUAACCCAUAAAGCGUCGCUACUAGUCACAGCCGCGGCAGUAAGCGUCCUGGCGUCCGUCGAGAAUGCGGUAUGCGGUGUACCUCUGCGUCAAGAUCGACACGUGGUUGCUCGAACGAUAUUCGAUACCCAGCUGCGUGAUUAAAUCGAACGAUAUUAUAAAUACGUCCAUUUUAUUUUUCUUUAAUAUCUCUCUCUCUUUUUCUCUUUCGUAACGUGAUCAUUUUUUACUUAAUUUGCAACGAUGAUUGUAAAUUGAUAAAUGUACGUACAAUAAUAGAAUACAAUCGAAGCAAGUGUUGUGUCUUCUUCUUUGAAAACGCACCAUUACGUUUUCGUUCUUUGUGAUGUGAAUUGCUUCGUGGGAUUGGUUGCUUACGCGCGAAGAUGAUUGCGGUGAUUUGUCACGAUUUUUCACGAAAGAUCAAGGUGGACAAGCACAAUCCCGUCCAUUCCCUAUGCGGCCAGAGACACCUGCAUUGUCAUUGUCAGGUGAUGGACCGUAUCCUGGACUAACCGUGAAAAACAUCAUCAAGAGUUUUUUUCUAUUUUAACCUUUAAAAAGAAACCGUCUUAAAAUUCUCGUACGAAUUUUUAAGAAUCCAUCGUUCCAUAUCGACGAAUAAUAAAGAUUAUUUUUCGAAGGAUAAAUUUCGAAAGAAGAAACAUUUUCAACAUUGAGAAAACAAUGAUGAACACGAAGGGAACACGAUAAAUAGAUAUCUUGAUAAAAGUACAACCGAAAUAGAAGGAUAUGUCCUGUGAGAAGGCAUCGAGACGUCUCAAGUUCUUGCUCGGCAAGGCGAGGAGAUCUGGUUUGAGCACAGACGAGAUUGUAGACUUGCCAGCGGCCAAAAGAUUACUGUCCACCCGUGUCACUCCCUUCUCCACCGUAUGGACGAUCUUGGCCAUGCUUGUCUUAAUUCUCGGUGGUGGCGCUGUCCUAAUCUUCUUCUGCGCCCCCUGCGCCGCCAAGAGCAGAACGUGAUCGUCCAUAGAGGUCUGCACAAGACAAAAUCUGUCCUUUGGCUCGCGGAGUUGAAUUGGAAAGUAUUUUUAAGAAUUGAUUUAAUUAAUUUAAGCGAGAUAUGAUUGUAAGUUUAUUAAUACUCGUAUAAAAUUAUGAUGAAAUAAAUAAACGAGAAUAAGGGAUAAUCCGUAGUGUCCGUAAUGUAAAAAAUUUAAGAAGAGAUGCGAGAAGCCACAAUGUAUUGUAAGAUAGCUGCGUGACUUAGAUCUUCCAUAAUUUUAUCUUACAUCUUGAAUAAUUUUAAAAAAAAAAAAAAAAGAUCGACGAUUUUUAAAAAAAA